AGUGAACGCUGGCGGUAGGCCUAACACAUGCAAGUCGAACGGCAGCACAGUAAGAGCUUGCUCUUACGGGUGGCGAGUGGCGGACGGGUGAGGAAUACAUCGGAAUCUACUUUUUCGUGGGGGAUAACGUAGGGAAACUUACGCUAAUACCGCAUACGACCGACGGGUGAAAGCAGGGGAUCUUCGGACCUUGCGCGAUUGAAUGAGCCGAUGUCGGAUUAGCUAGUUGGCGGGGUAAAGGCCCACCAAGGCGACGAUCCGUAGCUGGUCUGAGAGGAUGAUCAGCCACACUGGAAAUAAGACACGGUCCAGACUCCUACGGGAUGCAGCAGUGGGGUAUAUUGGACAAUGGGCGGAAGCCUGCUCCAGCCAUACCGCGUGCGAGAAGAAGGCCUUCGGGUUGUAAAGCCCUUUUGUUGGGACAGAAAAGCAGCAGGUUAAUACCCCGCUGUUCUGACGGUACCCAAAGACUAAGCACCGGCUAACUUCGUG
rnacentral:rRNA from 1 species